ensembl:Y_RNA Y_RNA Y RNA
AGCUGUUCUGAAGGUAGUGAGUUAUCCCGAUGGAUUGUUCAGUCAGUUACAGAUUGAACUCCUUGUUCUUUCUUUCCCCCUUUCUCACUGUUGCACUUGACUAGUCUUAA